AGCGAACGCUGGCGGCAGGCCUAACACAUGCAAGUCGAACGAAGCCUUCCGGCUUAGUGGCGGACGGGUGAGUAACACGUGGGAACGUACCUUUUGGUUCGGAACAACUCAGGGCAAGUUGAGCUAAUACCGGAUAAGCCCAUAGGGGGAAAGAUUUAUCGCCGAAAGAGCGGCCCGCGUUGGAUUAGCUAGUUGGUGAGGUAAAGGCUCACCAAGGCAACGAUCGAUAGCUGGUCUGAGAGGAUGAUCAGCCACACUGGGACUGAGACACGGCCCAGACUCCUACGGGAGGCAGCAGUGGGGAAUCUUGCGCAAUGGGCGAAAGCCUGACGCAGCCAUGCCGCGUGAAUGAUGAAGGUCUUAGGAUUGUAAAAUUCUUUUACCAGGGACGAUAAUGACGGUACCUGGAGAAAAAGCCCCGGCUAACUUCGUGCCAGCCGCCGCGGUAAAAC
rnacentral:rRNA from 1 species